rnacentral:rRNA from 1 species
GUGAGUAACGCGUGAGAAUUUUUUUUCGGAGGGGGGGACAACAUUGGGAAACCGAUGCUAAUACCGGAUGUGCCGAGAGGUGAAAGGCUUGCUGCCUGAAGAAGAGCUCGCGUCUGAUUAGCUAGUUGGUGGUGUAAGGGACUACCAAGGCGACGAUCAGUAGCUGGUCUGAGAGGAUGAUCAGCCACACUGGAACUGAGACACGGUCCAGACUCCUACGGGAGGCAGCAGUGGGGAAUUUUCCGCAAUGGGCGAAAGCCUGACGGAGCAAUACCGCGUGAGGGAGGAAGGCUCUUGGGUUGUAAACCUCUUUUCUCAAGGAAGAAGUAAUGACGGUACUUGAGGAAUCAGCAUCGGCUAACUCCGUGCCAGCAGCCGCGGUAAUACGGAGGAUGCAAGCGUUAUCCGGAAUGAUUGGGCGUAAAGCGUCCGCAGGUGGUUGUGUGUGUCUAUUGUCAAAGCAUCAUGCUUAACAUGAUAAAGGCAGUAGAAACUACACGACUAGAGUGCGUUCGGGGCAGAGGGAAUUCCUGGUGUAGCGGUGAAAUGCGUAGAGAUCAGGAAGAACACCGGUGGCGAAAGCGCUCUGCUAGGCCGCAACUGACACUGAUGACGAUGUUAAGU